CCUACGGGUGGCUGCAACAGGGAAUCGUACGCAAUGGACGAAAGUCUGACGUCGCAAUGCCGCGUGGAGGAUGAAGGCCUUCGGGUCGUAAACUCCUUUUAUAUUUAUCGAGAGAUAUUUAAGAAUAAGUGACUGCUAACUCUGUGCCAGCAGCCGCGGUAAUACAGAGGUCACAAGCGUUAUCCGGAUUUAUUGGGCGUAAAGCGUUUCGUAGGCGGACAUUUAAGUUAUUCUUCAAAGACUACGGCUUAACCGGAGGAAGGGGAGUAAUACUAUUUGUCUUUGACUACCGGAGGGGCUUCUGGAACUGAUGGUGUAGUAGUGAAAUACGUUGAUAUCAUCAGGAACUCCGAGGGCGAAGGCAGGAAGCUAAUCGGUGAGUAACGCUGAGGAACGACAGCUAGGGGAGCGAAAGGGAUUAGAUACCCUAGUAGUC
rnacentral:rRNA from 1 species